GAUGAACGCUGGCGGCGUGCCUAAUACAUGCAAGUCGAGCGAACGGACGAGAAGCUUGCUUCUCUGAUGUUAGCGGCGGACGGGUGAGUCACACGUGGAUAACCUACCUCUAAGACUGGGAUAACUUCGGGAAACCGGAGCUAAUACCGGAUAAUAUUUUGAACCGCAUGGUUCCAAAGUGAAAGACGGUCUUGCUGUCACUUAUAGAUGGAUCCGCGCUGCAUUCGCUAGUUGGUAAGGUAACGGCUUACCAAGGCAACGAUGCAUAGCCGACCUGAGCGGGAGAUCCGACACAUGGUAACUGAGACACAGUCCAGACACCUGCGGGAGGCAGCAGUAGGGAAUCUUCCGCGAUGGACGAAAGCCGGAUGGUGGAAAGCCGCGUGAGUGAUGAAGGACUUCGGAUCGGAGAGCGCUGAUAGUAUGAAAGAAGAUAAGUGUAAGUAGCUGUGAACAUCAUGACGGUACCAAAACAGAAAGCCACGGCUAACUACGUG
rnacentral:rRNA from 1 species